CGGUCGAUUGGGAUUUACCCUGACAAAGGAUUAACCAAAAUUCUCAAAUUGAGCCCUAGAAAAUGGCUGCUAUUCCAGAAGAAAUCAUCAAACAGAACAAAAUGGGUAUUACUAGUAAAGAUCUUCCUCAGGAAAUCAUCACACAAAUUUUAUAUGGCGUCCCAGCCAAAUCCAUUGGAAGGUUUAGGAGCGUUUCAAAAGGUUGGCUAUCUCUUCUCACUCACCCCGAUUUCAUUAAAACCCAUGAUCAGAAUACCCUCAUCCACAAACAUCGCCUUAUAUUCAAUACCACCGACAAUUCCAAUAUCGAAUGUCCUGGACUUUACUCCAACCCAGAUAAUGAACCAAUUUUAAGAAUUUCAGAUUUCGGGUUAGACGGAAAUUUAGGUCGUUAUAAUUGUAUCCCGUAUUUACUUGUAUAUGGCUCUUGUAAUGGCCUUGUUAUGGUGAGUGCUGAUAGUUAUAUACACUUUCUUAUAAAUCCGACUACAAAAGAAUCAAUGAAAUUGCCAAAAAUCUCUGAUUAUUCGUAUAUGAAUGAUUAUAAAUGGUCUUGGGAUGUUAUAAUUUAUAAAUCCGAAUAUAUGCAUGGAUUAGGUUAUGAUUCCGAUACGGGUGAUUUUAAGGUUGUUUCACUCAAUUGCUUAUAUGGUAUAAUGAAACACGGUUGUAUAUUUGUGCAUGUUUAUAGCCUUAGAACGAAUACUUGGAGGCGGUUAACUGAUACUCUUGAUGAUUAUCAUUGUGAAUAUUCAGAGGAUCAAAGUGCUGUUUUUGUUAAUGGGUUUCUUCAUUGGAUUUUUACAAAGAGAGUUAAUCGCUUAGAAUCAAAAGUUGUCUUGGCUUUUAGUUUAGCGGAUGACAAGUUUAGUGAAGUGACAUCGCCCGAGUUUGUUGGAAGUAAUGAAUAUUUGUCUAGUGAUCAUUGCCGCCUUGUUCUCCUUGGCGGAAAACUUGCUUUGUUCCAUAGAUUGGAUGGUGAGAUUUGGUUGAUGAAUGAGUAUAGGAUAAAAGAAUCUUGGACUAAGAUUUCGCUCCAUGGAAUCCAUAAAAUUCCAAUGGUUUCACCAGAUCGUUAUAAUAAGCCUAUAGUUUUUUGUCACGAUGGGAAAUUCAUGGUGGCCAACAGCGAUCGGAUGAUGGUGUAUGAUGAUGAAAAGGGGGCUUUCGAGGAAACUGUGUGUGUUUGGGAUCCUGUAAACUUCAGGGUUAUUGGUAGUUAUGUUGAGAGCCUUGUCUCGAUUGCUUCAUGCAUUGAACAAUGAUCGACUUGGUUUAUAUAUGGUAGCUUGUUCGUUCGUUAACCUUGGCAUGUGUCCUCUUCACGAGAUAAUCUGAUGUAAAAGCCUAAGGUAUUACAUUAUCAGACUUAGAAAAAGGCGGGUGUCCAAAUUGUAAGACGUGGGAGAUGCUCAUGGUGGGAUAUCAAAGAAUCAAAAUAGGAAAAUGCAGUUUUUGCAAUGAAGAACGCAUUUAACUUCUUGAAGUGUUGUGAGUGGAGGCCGUCACCUACAAUUAUUGGAUCUAUUUUUGAGUACUUAGAGAUAAGCGGAAAUUUGGAAGAUGGGAAAGGGUUUUGAAGGUUCUUAGGGAUCUUAAUCUUGUUAGUUUGGGUUUAUAUCGAUCGCUAAUCAGGAUGCAUGUAGCCAAGGGAAAACCAUUUGGUCAAAUUGUUAAAUUGAUGGAGAAAGAUAAGAUAGAUAUGGAUGAUGAAAUUAUCAGCCUCGUUCAAGCUUCACAAACUGGGGCAUUGUCACACAUACUUAAAAGACAACAAGAAAAUCAAGCCGCCACGAGUUUCUGAUUUCAGGUAUCCUCUUUCCCUAUUAUUGUGCAGUUUUCCGACUUUUUGAUUAUACAGUAUACUAGUAUAAUCCCUUUCAUGUCUUUUAUGAUGUGCAAUCUCAUCAAAUGGGCGUGUUAAGUUUAGAUGGAGUGACUCUUUUAAGCUGGAACAUGCACAAAGCAAAUGUUCUAUUGAGUCUGAGUGUCCGGUGGACUUGAAACUGUCACAAGCAUUGCUUGCAGAAGCUGGAAAGUUUAGAUGUUUGUUAUUUUCUUAUCUAAAGAGCACAUGGUGGGAUCGAACAUGCCUGUUAUGAAUAAGUCUCUUCUGUUCAGAAGUUUAUAGUGGUUACCAAUGAGGAAGGAGAUCCUAUCGGGUUUAAACUCUAGUAGAUUUGGAAAUGUUCCAUUUUGGAAUUCAGUGAAAUCAGUCAUUUUUUGAUCAGAAAUUUUUGGUUCUCGAAGUUCUAUAUGAUAUUCCACCACUGCUUAGUUGAUGGUGUACAUGAACUUGAAUUAUUCUUUGUAUACGGCUCUGUCCUCUGUGUUUUGUUUGCCUUUGGAAAGAGUGGGAGAGAUCCAGACUUCAGCACACCGUGUCACAGUCUUGAGCUUAGAAGAGCCGAGUUUGGCUUAAGCUUGCUAUGUUCUUUAGCUUACUGUGUUCUCAUAUUAGUUAGUUCAAAACACACCUUAAGCAUCUGCUUUUGGCUUCUAUAAGCUAGUUGUUGCGUUUAUUGAUGCCAUAUCGAUGUUUUUGUUAGUUCGGAGUCCUUGAACCCCAUGACCAUUGAACCCAUUUCAAUGUAUGAUUACCUGGCAAAUCAAGUCGGCACUGAUUCAACUGUAAUAAGGUGAUUAUAUUCAAGGGAAACUCUUCUAAAGUGAAAAUUGGUUCUGUGUUUCAA